UGCCGGCUCACUGUGCUGCAUACAAUUACACACUGCAUCGUACGAUUGAGACAAGGAAACUUGGAAUGACUUUUCAUAGGUUUCCCAGAGACUAUGGGUUGAGGAGGAAUUGGAAGUUUGUCGGCUUAGACCUGGUGUCAUUCCAUCAGUGUUAAACUUCCCGGCUCAUCUUGGAAGAGUACGUGCCAGAAAGACCACGACCAAGCAGCCUUGAGAUCUUAGGCAGCAUCUCCCUGAGGUCCCUCUCUAUCUCCCUACACAUCCACCAACCACUGGAACACAUCUCCAAAGUUCUGCCGGGCCAGCUCAGCUUCCCCUCAGAAGAAGUGCUGCCACCUGCCAGAUGAAGGAGCCUUUUGAGAGGCAGCUGGCAUCGUGAUUGGACUGUACUUUGGUUUGUUCCAAUCCAGCUUCAGCUCCAGAGACGGCAGGCGGGACGAGUCAACGGAGGCCUGGUGGACGAAGGCAUGCAGCUGAGUACAAUCCGGAAAACAACAGAGGAGGAGUGCAGCAGCCCAGAGCCAGAACACACAGAGUAGCAUCGUAUGUCUCUUAGAAAACA
ensembl:lncRNA